GAUGAACGCUGGCGGCGUGCCUAAUACAUGCAAGUCGAGCGAACGGACGAGAAGCUUGCUUCUCUGAUGUUAGCGGCGGACGGGUGAGUAACACGUGGAUAACCUACCUAUAAGACUGGGAUAACUUCGGGAAACCGGAGCUAAUACCGGAUAAUAUUUUGAACCGCAUGGUUCAAAAGUGAAAGACGGUCUUGCUGUCACUUAUAGAUGGAUCCGCGCUGCAUUAGCUAGUUGGUAAGGUAACGGCUUACCAAGGCAACGAUGCAUAGCCGACCUGAGAGGGUGUUCGGCCACACUGGAGCUGAGACACGGUCCAGACUCCUACGGGAGGCAGCAGUAGGGAAUCUUCCGCAAUGGGCGAAAGCCUGACGGAGCAACGCCGCGUGAGUGAUGAAGUUCUUCGGUUCGUAAAACUCUGUUAUUAGGGAAGAACAUAUGUGUAAGUAACUGUGCACAUCUUGACGGUACCUAAUCAGAAAGCCACGGCUAACUACGU
rnacentral:rRNA from 1 species